AGCAUCACUAAUAGUUAAGAGCCCACCUCUGGACUGAGAGCGAGCCUGGGAAAAUUCAUCAUGAAAGAAUCAUUUUCUAGAGCUAGGCAGAGCAGUGGGGGUUUCAAUUAAAAUCCACAGGAAAGGAAAGGAAUAUGUCAAUAAAACCACAGACUUAUGGCCAAAGGUCAUAGUGCUGGAGCAUUCAUCUUUAGACUCAUCCUCAGCCUACCACCUGCCAGGGAUAGCAACCCUUGUAUCCAACCACAAUUUGGGUGGAGGCACCACGUGUCACAAAACAGAACCCAAUGGAGGUGAGGAGAAGGGAGAAGUCACUCCAAGUAACAAGCCGUAGAGAAAUUCAACUUAAAAUUGAAGAAACUGUAAAGAAGAUACAGAGACUGAUUGUCAAGUUCAAUCUUGUUCCAAGGUUCCACCCCAUACCUUCACCAUCCCUACCAUAAGUCUGGGUCAGACAAAUCAGGUCUCAGGUUUAUGAGAGUGAGAUUGUCCUCAGAGUGUGAAAGAGGAAGCUGUUCUCAAGUACCAUAUCUUCCCCCACAUAACCUCCUUAAUGGAUCCUGUAAUGUUUGAAUGGGGUGGGAAAUCUCAUCCUCAAUAGACUGCCAGGGUAGUGCAUGUAUCCUAGCUCCUUUGGCCAUGGAGCAUCAUGUGGGAUACAGUUUCACCAGAGCGUUUGGCCUCCAGAGGAGAAGGGGAGAACAAGACACCCAGACUACAACUCCCAGGAAGCUCCUCAGUGCCAUUGUAAAUCAAAAUAUUUGGGGCUUUGGCUAAUAUAUACUGGUUUUCAGUUUUUUGAUGACAUAAAGAAAUUUUCUGCAGAAAGCAGAAAAUUUCCACAAUAAUUACUUUGUCAAAAGCCCAAUUCUCCAUCAAAAAGCAGUUUGAGUUUGUGAUAAGAGACUGUUUUAAAUCUUUGUGGUAAUAUUUGAUGAAACAUCAGUUUUCUCAAGAAUUAUUGAUGUUGUGUGAACAUAAGUCAAAGAAUGCUGACAUACCAAAUGCCCUGCCAGACCCCAUAUGUGAGAUUCUCAUUAAUUUCAACAAGGGUUCCUUGGUUUUAUUGGGCCUAAGUUAUAUUCCAACACUUUUACUUGUGUAUACAAUAGAACACAUUUUAUCACAUGUAUGAUGUGCAUUACCUAGACGUGCUAACUGAGACAUAUACCAUAAUUUACAUCUGACCUUUGUAAGGCACAUUACCACAUAUACAGUCUGAGAGCUAUAAAACAGAUUAUCACAGACAUGUUAUAUAUGUUACACUGAAACCCUUUAAAGUGUGAGGGAAAAGGGAUUCAAUAAUCUCAAGCCAAAA